AUGCUUGCUUCAGCAGCACACAUACUAAAAUUGGAACAAUACAGAGGAGAUUAGCAUGGCCCCUGCGCAAGGAUGACACGCAAAUUUGUGAAGGAUUCCAUAUUUCC
ensembl:snRNA RNU6-263P RNA, U6 small nuclear 263, pseudogene